rnacentral:rRNA from 1 species
UGGGGAAUUUUGGACAAUGGGCGAAAGCCUGAUCCAGCAAUGCCGCGUGUGUGAAGAAGGCCUUCGGGUUGUAAAGCACUUUUGUCCGGAAAGAAAUCCUUGGCUCUAAUACAGUCGGGGGAUGACGGUACCGGAAGAAUAACCACCGGCUAACUACGUGCCAGCAGCCGCGGUAAUACGUAGGGUGCAAGCGUUAAUCGGAAUUACUGGGCGUAAAGCGUGCGCAGGCGGUUUGCUAAGACCGAUGUGAAAUCCCCGGGCUCAACCUGGGAACUGCAUUGGUGACUGGCAGGCUAGAGUAUGGCAGAGGGGGGUAGAAUUCCACGUGUAGCAGUGAAAUGCGUAGAGAUGUGGAGGAAUACCGAUGGCGAAGGCAGCCCCUGGGCCAAUACUGACGCUCAUGCACGAAAGCGUGGGGAGCAAACAGGAUUAGAUACCCUGGUAGUCCACGCCCUAAACGAUGUCAACUAGUUGUUGGGGAUUCAUUUCCUUAGUAACGUAGCUAACGCGUGAAGUUGACCGCCUGGGGAGUACGGUCGCAAGAUUAAAACUUAAAGGAAUUGACGGGGUCAUAGCUGUUUCCU